UGUACGAUAAUUAUCGUACGGUUCCGAACACUGUAAUGGACGUUCCUUAGCCGUAUGUCCUAAUAAUUUCUUGCUCGAAAAAUAAGGGAGAUGGCGUAUGGUUUCUUUCGUGACACGUGUACGCACCAUUGUGAGAGAGAUGGAUAUUGUCCGAAGCUUCGUUCCAUCUCUUUCUUUUGUUGUACCACAAUUCUGACCGUUAAGGCAUGUCCAUUAGUAAACGUCGACGAGAUAUACAAGGGGACUCUGUGGUGGAUCGUAUUUAUAUCUAUGGUCAUAUAAUAUCUAACUUCUAUGAAGUUAGUUGUCGCGUGUUUCAUCGACGUUUACUAAUGGACAUGCCUUAGCGGUCAGAAUUGUGGUACAACAAAAGAAAGAGAUGGAAUGAAGUUUUGGACAAUAUCCAUCUCUCUCACGAUAGUGCGUAAUAAAGUUUGGUAUGUUCCUGUAAGAUUAUUUAUUAAUAUUUCCUGCAAUUAACAAACUUUACCCCUUAAACGCGCACAACUGCGAUACAUUAAUCUAUAACUUUACAUGUCAAAAAUGACAAUAAAAUGAAAAGUAGAAUGUGCAUUUUUAACAUCGCUGUGUUACUGGAGAAACAGCUGAACAAUGAAUCAAUAUUUCUCAAUCUCAAGACAAACUGGUGACCUUAUAUCUUCAAAUGGUAUGCGGUGACUAUCAGUGACUGUCAUUUUUAUAGAUCAUAGGCAUAGAUUGGACUAUAAGGCAAGGAAUUAUGCACGUGUAAGGAAAUUAACAAACGCAAAAGAAUACUGUGGAUCAAUUGCGAAUCAACUAGUAUGUAGAGCAUAUCAACUUUUUACAUUUUACGGAACGCACAUCUAUGGUAUGAAUACCGACUUCGAGGCCACGGAAUACGAAGAAAAUUCUUCUCUAUGGAAGAGGAUCAGUGAUUGGGAGGACAAGAGGAGGAAUAGUCCGAAGAGGAGUUUUGUGCGCGUAUCGACUUGGUCAUAUUGACUAUGUAAACCAAUUAGCUGUAGUAUUUAAUUUUUAGCAAUAAGAAAUGCAUAACUACGUUAA